UACGUAGGGUGCAAGCGUUAAUCGGAAUUACUGGGCGUAAAGCGUGCGCAGGCGAUUUUUGUAAGUCUGUCGUGAAAUCCCCGGGCUCAACCUGGGAAUUGCGAUGGAGACUGCAAGGCUAGAAUCUGGCAGAGGGGGGGUAGAAUUCCACGUGUAGCAGUGAAAUGCGUAGAGAUGUGGAGGAACACCGAUGGCGAAGGCAGCCCCCUGGGUCAAGAUUGGCGCUCAUGCACGAAAGCGUGGGGAGCAAA
rnacentral:rRNA from 1 species